UAAAUUAAAAAAAAACUUUAUCGUAUCAUGGGAGAGGAGAGAGCACGGCUUCUGUCAGUUCUGCGGAGACCUGCAUCUUCACGGAUGCUGCGCGCCUCUUUCCACUCUCAGAUGCUUCUGAACAUGCUAAGAAGCUUCCAGAACCUUCCACGCCUGCGCCGCAGGUCCCGCCGCGCUUCACUUCUCCUCCACCGUUUCUACACCCGCGCACCGCCGCACCGUACCGGCGACAUCGUCCGGUGGAACUCCGCCAUCACCGCGCACCUCCGCUCCGGCAGGGUGGGCGCCGCGCGCCGCCUGUUCGACGAAAUGCCCGAGCGGAACGUGUUCACGUGGAACUGCAUGAUCUCCGGCCUCGUCAGGAACCGGAUGCUCGCCGACGCCCGCAGGGUGUUCGACGCGAUGCCGGUGAGGAACUCCGUCUCGUGGGCCGCGCUGCUCACCGGCUACGCGCGGUGCGGGAGGGUGGCCGAGGCCAGGGAGCUGUUCGACCGGAUGACUGACCGGAAUGUGGUUUCCUGGAACGCGAUGAUAUCAGGCUACGUGCGCAAUGGGAUGGUCAACAGGGCACGUGAGCUGUUCGACGUGAUGCCAUCAAGGGAUGACAUUUCGUGGCUGACAAUGAUCUCCGGGUAUAUGAAAAGGAAGCACGUCCGUGAAGCAAGGGAGCUCUUUGACCAUGCACCUUCGCCAUCGACUUCAGUGUGCAACUCUUUGCUGUCAGGUUAUGCUGAACAUGGUUUCCUGAAAGAUGCAGAGGAGCUGUUUUGUCGGAUGCACAGACGGGACCUUGUUUCUUGGAAUGUCAUGAUCACAGGCUAUACGCGGGCUGGGAUGAUGGAGGUUGCACAGAGUCUCUUUGAUGAGAUGCCUGAAAAGGACACAGUGUCUUGGACAACCAUUGUCCGCGGGUAUUUGCAGAAUGGAGAUGUCGAUGCUGCAUGGAAGGUGUUCCAGGACAUGCCUGACCGUGACGUCCUUGCUUGGAACACAAUGAUGGGUGGUUUCGUAAUGAGUGAGAGGUUGGAUGAUGCGUUGAGAUUGUUUGCUGACAUGCCUGAUAGGGAUCCAGUAUCAUGGAAUAUAAUCUUGCAGGGGUACGUCCAACGAGGGGACAUGGAUAGUGCAAAUACCUUGUUUAGGAGAAUGCCAGAGAAAAACGAGACAUCAUGGAAUACUCUGAUCUCUGGGCACAAAGAUGAAGGAGCACUAAGUUUGCUGUCAGAAAUGAUCCGAGGAGGAUACAAACCGGACCAGGCCACUUGGAGCGUUGUUAUUUCUAUCUGCGCCUCUCUUGUUGCCCUCGGAUGCGGAAGAAUGGUGCACGUUUGCACAAUCAAAACCGGUUUUGAGCAUGAUGCUUUGGUGAUGAGCUCAUUGAUAUCUAUGUACUCCAAGUGUGGGCUAAUCAUUGAAGCUUCCCAAGUUUUCCAGUUGAUUUUGCAACGGGACACUGUGACAUGGAAUGCCAUGAUUGCGACAUAUGCUUAUCACGGUCUGGCUGCUGAAGCUCUUGAACUCUUUGACAGGAUGACUAAAGAUGGAUUUAACCCAGAUCAUGCAACUUUUCUGAGUGUGUUGUCUGCUUGUGCACACAAAGGCUAUCUAUAUGAAGGUUGCCACUAUCUUAGAAGUAUGCAAGAAGAUUGGAACUUGAUUCCAAGAUCUGAUCACUAUUCGUGCAUGGUUGAUCUCUUAGGAAGAUCAGGUUUUAUACACCAGGCUUAUGAUUUUACCAGCAAAAUCCCUUCUGAUCUUCAAAUAAAUGCAUGGGAGACACUGUUUAGCGCAUGCAAUGCUCAUGGGGAUAUCCAGCUUGGAGAACUUGUAGCAAAAAAUGUUCUUCAGUCUAGACCUUCUGAUGGAGGAAUGUAUACACUGUUGUCAAACGUAUAUGCUGCCAAAGAGAUGUGGAGCAGUGCUGCCAGUGUUAGAGGUCUCAUGAAAGAGAGGGGAUUGAAGAAGGAGACAGGGUGUAGUUGGAUUGAGCUGAAGGGGGAUGUUGUUUCCUUCUCAUCGAAUGAUAAUGCACAUCCUAUGAUUGAGCAGAUAUGCCGAGAAGUUGAUAAUAUUUCUGUCUUGAUAGAAGAGGCAAGUUGAAGGGCAACAUCCUUUGAUCUACCAUCCUUUGAUUUGGUUGUCAAAAGGAAUUCAGAUGGUGUCUUUGAGAUCAUUAACAACCUUCAUGACUUCAAACAAUGAUAUAUGGUUGAAGCCAGGAAUGCCCAAAUUGGAAGUCCUUUAAAGAACUACGAGGUGCUGGUCUGCUAGAGCUCAUUCAAUUCUUUUGUGGAGAUUCCUUCAAGGUCGUAAUCAAGAAAUUCAAAACAGCAUCAUUGUAACUUCCUUUGAAACCUUGGCUGGUGGCCAUGGUUGAGAGUGUGAGGCAAGGCCUUGAAUUGGACACCUGCUACAAUCAGCAAUGGCAAUGGUGGUAUGUUCACUAUGGCAAACAGAAAUUUGAGAAUUGGGUUCCAAGUUCGUGCUGUCACUGGAGACUGGGGCUCUCGCAAUGUGUCUGAUGUGAAGUUCCCAAGUGAUUACACGGAACUUCUAGUGCAGGCUAAAGAAGCUGCUGAAUCAGCUUUUAAGGAUGGAAAGCAGCUACUGGUCAGCCUCAAUCUGAUCAUCGAAUUGGCUUCUUUUUUUGUGUCAAAGGGAUUAUGAUGUAAUAUAUUACAGGAAAUUGAGUUCCCUACAGCUGGACUACAAACUGUACCAGGUGAUGGCGAAGGAGGAAAUGAGAUGACUGGAAGCAUGCUUCUCAUUAGAGAAUUUUGUGAUCGCUUUGUACCUGCAGAGAAAGUUACUCGAACCAGAAUUGUAUGUCCAUGUUAGGAUUUCCUAGUCGUUAGGAUAUAUAUAUACUGGCUUGCUAACAAUUAUUGCCUCAUUUAGAAAUACUGAAAUAGCAAAAAGCAGAGUUAAUGCAUGGUUUGUAUUCGGCAAUUUUUCUGAGGGAUUAGUGCAAAUUGGUGUACUUAUUAUGCUCAAGUGUUAUCAACUGAAAGUCUGAAA